rnacentral:lncRNA from 1 species
GUACUGAAACGCGCGCCAUACAGGCUUGGUGGAUCUAGGUGCAAGGUACUGCAGGCAACUACUACAACACUACUGAACCGGUACAAACUGCAGGUACUGCAGGCAACUACUACAACACUACUGAACCGGAUCAUUCACGUAGUAACAAAGGAAAAAAUCUACAGAAAGAAUGUACGAGUAUAAGCGAAAAAAGCGACUCCAAUACAACAACA